rnacentral:lncRNA from 10 species
UAAUUUCUUCUUUCUCUUUUUCCUAGAGACAGGGCCUCACUCUGUUGCUCAUGCUGGAGUGCAGUGGCAUGAUCACAGCUCCCUGCAGCCUCAACCUCCCAGGCUCAAGUGAUCCUCUCACCUCAGCUUCCAUAGCAGCUGGGACUACAGGAAACACAGAACGACGUCCCAGAUUCGCAACAUGUUGAAAUCGCUGACUCCUUCUGAUGCCCCUGAUGUGUUCUGACAUUCACAAGCGCUCCCCACAGGACCCCAUCUGCACCAACGUGUGUGUUCUCUCAAGCUCCAACAUGGAUACAUCAUCCCACUUUACCUUUUAUUAUUCCUUUGUUGUAAUAUGUAUUCAAAUACAGUUACUGAACAGGAUCUUAUGGAGUAAAUACGGCGGUAUUGAUAGUCUCCAUUAUCUCAAUUUACAGAAGAGAGAAAAAUCACUUCCAGAAUCUGAGUAAGCCUAAGCUGCCCUUUAUUUUUUUCCUUUGCCUUUAGCUUUGAAGGCUUGGAAAGUCCUAUUAUCCUAAAAGUUAAAUUGGCUUGUCUAAUGCAUACAGAUGGCAAAGCCUUGUGUUAGGUACAGCUGUCAUUUUCAUCUUCAAAAGAAAGGAGGGAAAGUAUCAUCAGCUCACCUGCAGCAUCUAACUUAGAAAGGUGAGCAUUGUGCAGACAGUAAGAAGGUCUAGCUGAUGCAGUCGCAUCUGCAUAAAAUAACAAUUUUUUUUGGAAGAAAGGGUUCUCAGUGCCAUCAUCCCCUGACUUAUUCCAAAUACACUUUCAACUUUAGGAAAAUAAAAACAUAUUUGUAUCUCUGCUAAAGAUAUCAUUACUUGAAAGCUUUCAUGUUGGAGUAAGGCGUGAUGUUUGUAGAAUCACCUGGUUUGAUUCUCAUCCCAACUUUUUACAUGAAAUAUACUGAGUUUGCAUCCUCCGGGCCAAGAUAGAAUCAACCUGUCUCCUGAGUGCCCACCCAUUUCUCUUAGAACAUAUCCAACCUUCCAUUCUACCUCACGUUUAUCUCUUUCUACCAAACUGUAAGCUUCUUACCUUGCCUUCUUAUAGAUUGUGAAAUGUUUAUUGAAUAAAUUCUUGGACUUUUAUAAAGAGAUAAAGCAUUUCAGCAACAUCUUCAAAAAAUGCAUAUGCCGACCUAUUUGAUUUAGUAUGUAUGCAGUGAGGCCAGGUGUGGUGGCUCCUGUCUGUAAUCCCAGCGCUUUGGGAGGCAGAAGUGGGAGGAUCACUUGAGGCCAGGAGUUCAAGAUCAGCCUGGGCAACAUAGGAAGACCCUGUCUCUACAAAAUAAUAAUAAUAAUAAUAAUAAAUAAAUAAUAAAAACUAGCUAGGCAUGGUGGUAUGUGCCUGUGAUCUUAGCUACCCAGGCUGAGGAGGGAGGGAUUCCUUCAGCCUGGGAAUUUGAGAUUUUCAUUCUGUGAGCUAUGACUGUGCCACUGCACUCCAGUCUGGGUGACAGAGUAAGACUCUGUCUUGGGAAAAAUAAAACAAAACAUAUAUAUGUAUAUAUAUAUAUGCAGUGAAGCUAUCCACAUGAGCCUGACUUCUUAUUGUAAAGAUCUAAUAGAUUCAUAGCUUCAGAUAUAAUCCAAGGUUGUGCAUUUUUCAUUAGAUCAUGCAAAUGAGGUGAACAGAGAAAUGAUUACACUUCAGCUUACGGAGGGAAGAGAUGCUCACUUAGCAAGUACCUCCACCAGCAGAUUGCUGAACAUUCUCUGAGUUUAUUUUACAGUGUGCGUAGGCCCACUUUGCUGGAGAAAGGCAACUGAGAAGAGCUUUGCCAGAAAUCUGGAAUAAGGCUUGCAUUGUUGCCAUAGAGGGGACUUUCUUUUUGAGCAUCGUGUAGAUCUGUUUUGGCUAUUUUUCAAGCCUACAUUUAUGCCUGGGUCAGUAACAGGAAAGAAAUCUGUUAUUAAUUACUACAAUUUGAAAAGAAGUUAAAAUUGAUCUCUCACAAUCUGACUUGGCAGGAGAAAGACAUUUACCACUCAAAAUUUUGGAACUUGCCUUAGCACCAACAUUAUCUGCUGACCGUAGUGGGAAGUCUUUUUUGUAGAAAAACAUUCAGUUCUAUACAAUUACUAUGUGACAGAAAAGAUAGUGUAAAAAGAUUUUUUAAAAAUCUGUAAACAGAAUCCUGUUUUACUGUGUUUAAUAAAUGGUCCUCUGUAAAAGAGUCAAGUCCUACGGUAUAGUAACAUUUCACUUGCCUGUAAACUUGGAUUGCCAAAUAUCAAUUUUACCUUGAAGUGACAUGCUCCUGUAUAAGAAGAUAAAUAGCUGUUUGGUUACAGACAGCAGAAUUAAGUAAUUUCAGCAAAUGAAUUACCAUAUUGACCUUGUGUAGACCUGGCAUGACAGCUUGCCAAGAUGGGCCAUUGCCAAGUUCCUGUCUCAUUUUUGUGAUGUAAACCCCACCUUUUCUUCUGAUUUAUGGUCGA